rnacentral:rRNA from 1 species
AUACGUAGGGGGCGAGCGUUGUCCGGAAUGAUUGGGCGUAAAGGGCGCGUAGGCGGCCCGGUAAGUCUGGAGUGAAAGUCCUGUUUUUAAGAUGGGAAUUGCUUUGGAUACUGUCGGGCUUGAGUGCAGGAGAGGUAAGUGGAAUUCCCAGUGUAGCGGUGAAAUGCGUAGAGAUUGGGAGGAACACCAGGGGCGAAGGCGACUUACUGGACUGUAACUGACGCUGAGGCGCGAAAGUGUGGGGAGCAAACAGGAUUAGAUACCCUGGUAGUCCACACUGUAAACGAUGAAUGCUAGGUGUAGGGGGUAUCGACCCCUUCUGUGCCGCAGUCAACACAAUAAGCAUUCCGCCUGGGGAGUACGGCCGCAAGGUUGAAACUCAAAGGAAUUGACGGGG